UGUUCCUAUCAGGCCUUGAUUAAAUUAGUACGUAAAGUUGCGAAACGGUCACCGCCACGAUACUGUCAAACUGUGAAUGAACAGGAAGGAACUCUGAAGUGAAUAAUGAAGCCCGAGGCCUGUAGACGAAGGAACAGCCGAGAGAGACGUCAGUUUUUCUGUGUUGCCAAUGAUAUCAGCUAGCUUAAAUGUUUUUGUUAUCCAGCACCAAGGGACUGAAGUGACAAAACAAAUGACAAAACAACAAAAUGACCGUCGCAGCUACAAGUGGACAGAUACCUGGAUACUUCACCUCCAUGAAAUGAAAGAAGUUGGGCUUCAACAAAAAAAAAAAACGUGGGUGAACCGGCUCCGGAGUGCUUGACACGCUGCAAUUACAGCUCACAGUGGAGGGCCCUGACCCUGGAAUGGACCUGCAGUGACAACGACCAGUAACGCUAAUGGAAAUAGGGGAGAGAGGGGACAAGAUGGCUGUCAUACUCUCAGCAAAGGGCCAGACCGCCCUGACAGGGAAUGAAGGGAGGAGAUGGAGACGCAACACACAGUGAAAUAGCAGAAGACCGCUGGUACAGAUAAAAGGUCAAUAAAAGCAACAGCGUGAAAAAGAAAAGUGAUUAGCAGUAAAACUAAUAGAUUGUGGAAUAUUGUACUGAGGGAG